ACCGUCUGCUCACUCUCAUUUUCACCCGAAGCUCUCUGUAAAGCCAGAGCCUGUGCCUAUUGCCGUCAUCAUUCUCUGAAGAGCUCAGACACAAGUACCAGCUGUGUAGCUCAAGCCCUUGCUGGAGAGGUGGUAAUGGGUCUAUUCUUAGCGAUCAUACUGUGAUGGAGACAGGGUUUCUCUGUGUAGCCCUGGCUGUCUUGGAACUCACUCUGUAGACCAGGCUGGCCUUGAAUUCAGAAAUCUGCCUGCCUCUGCCUCCUAAGUGCUGGGAUUAAAGGAGUGUGCCAUCAGUACCCGGCGAGUGGUUUUAAAAUAUAUUUUCUAAGGAGGUGUGUAGAGCCAAAGUUUCUAUGGAAAAAAAACUCUUUGGGGGUCCUGAACUAACUGACAUUCAUCCUAAGAGAAGUACUCAGAGAGCUAGUGUUUGUAAGGUGGGCCUUUUUGUUUGUAUUUCAGUUUCUCUGCCUUGCGGGACUCCUGUCAUCGCAUCCAGAAAAGAGCAGUGAGGCGCUUCCUGGGAGCCGAAUAUUGUGGCUAGAGAGGCAGCCCUUGCCUUCCAGGCACUUCCAUCCGGGAGGAAGAAUGCAGAUAUACUGGUCAUCGUGUAUUCAGUUCCAUACAAGGAUAUUCUUCAAAGAAAUCCCCAAUACCAACCACUGUAGCAAGAAGUCUAUGUUACAUGGAUGGGUACUAUGUCUGUCCAAGGGGAUUCAUUGCUAGAGAAUCAGCAAACAUUCAGUUAACAGUAACCAUGCUGCUGCUACUUCUAAUAAGAUCCCAUGUGUUUCUCCCUGCCCCCAGGUAGAUUUUUCCUAGCAUUGCAGAAUUUGACUCAAUGCUGUUCAAUUAUUUGCCCUGUUGAAGAAAAUCCCUGGUCCCUCCAUUUCAAAGUACAAAUUUUGUUCCAUGAAGAAGCCUAGCAAAUACAAGACUGGAGAGCUGCCACACCGCUCAACCUUCUAUCUUGC
rnacentral:lncRNA from 1 species